AGGACGAACGCUGGCGGCGUGCUUAACACAUGCAAGUCGAGCGGAAAGGCCCUUCGGGGUACUCGAGCGGCGAACGGGUGAGUAACACGUGAGCAACCUGCCCUUAGCUUCGGGAUAGCUCCGGGAAACCGGAAUUAAUACCGGAUAUGACUAUGGCCGACAUCAGCCAUGGUGGAAAGUUUUUCGGCUAGGGAUGGACUCGCGGCCUAUCAGCUAGUUGGUGAGGUAACGGCUCACCAAGGCGACGACGGGUAGCCGGCCUGAGAGGGCGACCGGCCACACUGGGACUGAGACACGGCCCAGACUCCUACGGGAGGCAGCAGUGGGGAAUAUUGCGCAAGUGGGCGAAAGCCUGACGCAGCGACGCCGCGGUGGGGAUGAAUGCCUUCGGGUUGUAAACCCUUCAGCAGGGACGAAGCGAAAGUGACGGUACCUGCAGAGAAGCGCCGGCUAACUACGUGCCAGCAGCCGC
rnacentral:rRNA from 1 species